CCUACGGGAGGCAGCAGUGGGGAAUAUUGCACAAUGGGGGAAACCCUGAUGCAGCGACGCCGCGUGAGUGAAGAAGUAAUUCGUUAUGUAAAGCUCUAUCAGCAGGGAGGAAAAUGACGGUACCUGAGUAAGAAGCACCGGCUAACUACGUGCCAGCAGCCGCGGGAAAACGUAGGGGGCAAGCGUUAGCCGGAAUUACGGGGUGUAAAGGGAACGUUGACGGCUGUUCCAGUCUGGAGUGAAAGGCGGGGGCUAAACCCCCGGACUGCUCUGGAAACUGUACGGCUUGAGUGCAGGAGAGGGAAGUGGAAUUCCUAGUGUAGCGGUGAAAUGCGUAGAUAUUAGGAGGAACACCAGUGGCGAAGGCGGCUUACUGGACUGUAACUGACGCUGAGGCUCGAAAGCGUGGGGAGCAAACAGGAUUAGAUACCCCAGUAGUC
rnacentral:rRNA from 1 species